rnacentral:rRNA from 1 species
GUGGGGAAUAUUGCACAAUGGGGGAAACCCUGAUGCAGCAACGCCGCGUGAAGGAUGAAGGUUUUCGGAUCGUAAACUUCUAUCAGUAGGGACGAAAAACAUGACGGUACCUAACUAAGAAGCCCCGGCUAACUACGUGCCAGCAGCCGCGGUAAUACGUAGGGGGCAAGCGUUAUCCGGAAUCACUGGGUGUAAAGGGUGCGUAGGCGGCAGUAUAAGUCAGAUGUGAAAUCCCGGGGCUCAACCCCGGGCGUGCAUUUGAAACUGUACAGCUAGAGUGCAGGAGAGGAAAGUGGAAUUCCUAGUGUAGCGGUGAAAUGCGUAGAUAUUAGGAGGAACACCAGUGGCGAAGGCGACUUUCUGGACUGUAACUGACGCUGAUGCACGAAAGCGUGGGUAGCGAACAGGAUUAGAUACCCUAGUAGUCC